UCCCAAUAGCAGCACUCAGGUUUUAGGCAGGGAUGGACUCCACACACAGUACAUGUUUGCACAGAUGUAGAAUAAAGCAAGAACUUUCCUCUUACUGUAUUCUUCAAUAUGGAUUUAUCUGACAGAUGUGCCUUUCUUCAGCUUAUAAGAAACAAGCAUUAAGUCUCAAGUUUGUCUGGGUUCAAGAUGCAGCAUGUGUCACAGCAAGACGAUACAAGACUGUAUGUCAGGGGGACACCCUGGCCACAUCCCAACUGCCUGUUAGAGCAAGACUUAGAUGCUUACCACUCCUUGACACAUUAACUUUUCCUUUGGAAAGGAACUCAAGUCUGAGGAUAGGAAAGGAGCUACAGUGACAUUCACUUCUGAGGAUACUUAUACUGAAAACAUGGUCUGACUGCAGAAAAAAAAAACAAAUAAAACUGUGGUGGUUCAAACUUGA